GCGCUCACAAAACUGACAUGACAAUCAUGUGUCCCUCUCCUAGCGACAGCGGGGUAAUUUCAGGAGAUCUAGCUCCAUUAAUACAUCCUGAAAGGAGGCUCAUCAUUCCAAUUUGCCACAUCCAUUGUCCAAUUAUCCUGCUUCUUCUUAGCCUUGUUUAACCAUGCAGUUUUAAGAAUGUGCCAACGUUUCAUUGCCUACUUUAGCAGCCAGCAGUACAGUUAAUGCAACAAUGAUAGCAAACUGACUAUGACGGUACAUUCACACCAAAAGCAAGGCUUUACUCGCCCUACUAUUCGCAUCUCCUUCAUUCGUGCCAGAAAAGGGGCAUGGCUUAUCUCCGUGGCAUGUCUCCAUAAAGACAGUUAUUACUUCCGCUAAUAUUUGUGCUCUGUACUUGUGGUGGAGAUUCCACAAACGCUGUUGUGUUUGGGUUUAUGACAUCAUCUGUCCCCGCAGUCGCCGGUGAAGUUGACCAACUCCAGGAACUGCGUCUGGAUGACUCCCGCUUCCAGCACUACUUUAGGCUAACCAGUAGCCAGUUUUUAUAACCUGUUUGGUUGGAUCGGAGCCAGGAUCUCUCGGUUGGACACCACCUACAGGCGUUCAAUCUCAGCUGUGGAACACCUAUCUGUCUCUGCAUAUCAAUCCCCCCCUAUGGUUAAGAGUGAGAAGAGACGGCUCCUUCUGUUUCUUCUGUCUCCAUUAGCUCCCUGGUGGAUCCGCCUGAUGUGAAGUGACUGCAGCUGUAAUCUCUCACUAAGUUUGUAUAUUCUUCCACUUGGCAUGAUUUAACAACUUCUCAUACUCUUUACUGAAGACUUUUUUUCGCAGUCGAGCAGUGGUGCAGUGGAAUCAGACAAUGAAUGUUGCAGUAUUGCGGCCUUGCCCGCGCAGACUCAGUAAUGUAGUCGACGGUGCACAAAGCGCUGCUCCCUUUUUCAAACUGCUUAUCCAGGCUGAAUCCAGGAUGCUGGUGAAGACACUGUUUCACAGGACCUUGCAAUACAAAAGAUGAAAAUCUACAGGAACAAGACGAACACGUCGGAGUCCAGACGCCGGUAUCAUGUUGGACGUACUAAAAGUUCUGACUGCACCGAGGGACUUUCCAAGGGCUUGGUGUCUGCUGGUUGGGUUUGCUUAUGCAGUCAAUCUUGCACAUUCAAAGUGUCCCCUUUGACCCUUGGAGUAAAAAAAGGGAAUUGUUGUUACUGAACUCUCAAAUGUGGUUACUGUUUGUUCAAUGCCUGUUUUUUAUAUUUUUAAGAUUCACAUUGAGAAGUUUAGAUUUGGCUCUUGUUUUUCUGGUGUUCAGUUUUAGUAUUGCUAUCUAGUGUUAAUGCUGCUUUAUUUGUGUUGUUCAAAUGUAUAUAAACCAUGCUUAUGUAGUGCAGCUUUUCCCUGUACGUAUUUAUAGAAAUUUGCACAAAUAAAUGUUAACCUGCUGUA
ensembl:lncRNA